rnacentral:rRNA from 1 species
AUGAUAUAUGUGGGUAGUGGCCAUGGGCUCAAGGUGCUCCAAGAGGGAGCCUCUGAUAACCUCGGGUCUAAGAAGAACGUGCCUCGCCCGCGUGAUGUUGGUGCACGAGGCCUGCCCAAGGAUCCGUGGGCGAGGUGUUUCAAGCUGCGUGAUUCCUCUAUGAAUCGUCGUGGUGAUGGGGUUGGUCCUUCCGAUGGUGAAUCGGGCACCGAUACAGUUCAAGCGAUGGCUUCGAAGCAUGGAAGAGGAGUGAGCACUUGCAUCGGAGGAAAUCCUGUUGAUAGAACCUCAGUUCUGGUGGAAGUUCAGAACUGUUAUGCAGCGUUGGCUGUUACUGUGAUAUGA